rnacentral:ncRNA from 1 species
UGUGGUGGAUUCUGAAGUGCUUUUAUUAGAACAAAAACCGAACGGCGUUUGACGAAUGUUGAACGUCGAAACUGUUUGGUGAAUCUGAAUAACUAUUUCUGAUCGCAUGGUCUAGCACCGGCGACAUCACUUUCAAGUGUCUGCCUUAUCAACCUUCGAUGGUAGUCUAUGCGACUACCAUGGUGAUAACGGGUAACGGAGAAUCAGGGUUCGACUCCGGAGAGGGAGCCUGAGAAACGGCUACCACAUCCAAGGAAGGCAGCAGGCGCGCAAAUUACCCACUCCCAGCUUGGGGAGGUAGUGACGAAAAAUAACGAGACGAUUCUCGUUUGAGAAACGUUAUCGAAAUGAGUACGCUUUACACACGCUAACGAGUAGCAAUUGGAGGGCAAGUCUGGUGCCAGCAGCCGCGGUAAUUCCAGCUCCAAUAGCGUAUAUUAAAGUUGCUGCGGUUAAAACGCUCGUAGUUGAAUUGUGGUCUUAGACAACAGUCCCCCUACAAAGGUGUGGCACGGUUGCUCGAGAUCUUCAUUCGUGGUUGCUGUUGUUGCUCUUCAUUGAGUGUCAAUGGUGCCUCGAGAUUUUACUUUGAAAAAAUUAGAGUGCUCAAAGCAGGUUGUGAUGCCUGAAUAAUGGUGCAUGGAAUAAUAGAAUACGAUCUCGGUUCUAUUUUGUUGGUUUUCGAACCGGAGAUAAUGAUUGAAAGGAACAGACGGGGGCAUUCGUAUUGCUGCGUUAGAGGUGAAAUUCUUGGAUCGCAGCAAGAUGAACAAUUGCGAAAGCAUUUGCCAAGAAUGUUUUCAUUAUCAAGAACGAAAGGUAGAGGUUUCGAAAGACGAUCAAGAAUAACCGCCCC